UCUUGGGAAGUGCAAGAACUCCCCUCUUCUGGGAAGUUCAACUUCCCUCUUCUGGGGAGCACAGGAACGGCCCACUUCUCAGGAGUCUCCACCAAUGCCUGGACCUUGUCAAGAGACAGCAUGGGUAGCACAGCCUGCCACACAAGUACUUCACCAUUUUCUUGGGCAUGAACUUCAGACAUUCCACGGCUGUUUCAGAUGUGGUCUCUUCACCCGAGAAGAUUGAGGCAGCCUCUAUCAUACAGGAUAUUUCUUAUAAAGGAAUUACUGAAUUAAGACUUCUAGCAAAUCUUGCAAAUUUUUAUCAGACGGGUUAUGUCACAAGACAUUCACAGAGUCACCAAUCCGCUGAAGUGUCUUGGAAAUUCUGUUUUGCCAAAGAAGGUUUUUCAGGAUAAGCAUCCUGAGACUGGAGAAUAUUGUUAACUAUUCCAGACAUCACAGGGCAGACUGAUCUGAGAACUGGAUGAAAUUAAAGCAACAGAAAUUAUAAUACACAGAAUGAUUCUUCACUGCAUCAAUGGACUUUCUCAAUAACUGAAUCCACUAGAAGAUAUUGUUAAGGCAGCCUAUGGUGAACUGGAAAGCCAUGUUAUUUCCUGCAGCUUACCAUCUGUUGAUCAAGUUUUUUUUUUUUUUUUUUUCCUUUGCGAUGCAAUACCUUAACUACUCAGUUGUGGCCUACACCAAGUGUUUUGUUUCAUCUUCAAUUUGUAACUUUUUCAAUGUGCAGGUACAGAUAAAGGCAAAUUUUCAAUUACCAAAAUGCACAGAAAGACAAAAAUAUGAAAUGCUUGUUAAAAAUGUUCAAUCACUGAAGUAAAAUGAUCAUACAGCUUUCCUUUGUGGGUCCAACGUGCCUGACAACAAAAGAAAGGACAGGAUACUUGGAAGAUAUUGAACUGGGCAGGCAGCAACAAGUCAGCAAUCUUUGUUUUUCCAUAUGCAUAUAGAAAGAAUAUAGGGCAGGAGAUAUAAAAUGCUCAGAAGGAACUUUAAAUCCAAAACAAACGAGAUCAAAGCAAGAGUUGGUUUUAUCACAUAAGGAAAGCUACAUAAGGAAAGAUUUUUAGGUACAGUAAUCAUGUGACGAAGCACCCAAGCCAAAAAUGACUUCAAGUAAAAACCUGUUUAUCAAAAGUAGGAGCAUGUGGCAAGAAAUGGGAAUCACUUUUGUAGUAUGCCACCUUGUACA